CCUACGGGUGGCAGCAGUGAGGACUAUUGGUCACUGGCCGUAAGGCUGAACCAGCCACGUAGCGUGAGGGAAGACUGCCCUAUGGGUUGUAAACCUCUUUUAUGCGGGGAUAAAAUGUUCCACGUGUGGGAUUUUGUAUGUACCAUAUGAAUAAGGAUCGGCUAACUCCGUGCCAGCAGCCGCGGUAAUACGGAGGAUCCGAGCGUUAUCCGGAUUUAUUGGGUUUAAAGGGAGCGUAGGUGGAUUGUUAAGUCAGUUGUGAAAGUUUGCGGCUCAACCGUAAAAUUGCAGUUGAAACUGGCAGUCUUGAGUACAGUAGAGGUGGGCGGAAUUCGUGGUGUAGCGGUGAAAUGCUUAGAUAUCACGAAGAACUCCGAUUGCGAAGGCAGUUCACUGGACUGCAACUGACACUGAGGCUCGAAAGUGUGGGUAUCAAACAGGAUUAGAUACCCGUGUAGUC
rnacentral:rRNA from 1 species